CCUCCUUUUGCUCGCCUUUCUGCGAUAGGGGCUGAUUGUGCUUCCUCGUCUACCCGCGUUCAUCCGUGGGUGAGGACUAUUAUUUGAAUACUUGCCCCCUCCUUUUUUCUGCCUUUCUGCGAUAGGGGCUGAUUGUGCUUCCUCGUCUACCCGCGUGCAUCCGUGGGUGAGGACUAUUAUUUGAAUACAUGCCCCCUCCUUUUGCUCGCCUUUCUGCGACUGAGGCUAAGUGUGAUUCCUCGUCUACCUACGUUCAUCCGUAGGUGAGGACUAUUAUUUGAAUACUUGCCCCCUCCUUUUGCUCGCCUUUCUGCGACUGAGGCUAAGUGUGAUUCCUCGUCUACCUACGUUCAUCCGUAGGUGAGGACUAUUAUUUGAAUACUUGCCCCCUCCUUUUGCUCGCCUUUCUGCGACUGAGGCUAAGUGUGAUUCCUCGUCUACCUACGUUUAUCCGUAGGCGAGGAAUGUUCUUGAGCACGUCCCUCGUCUAAUCCUACGUUCUUCCGUAGGUGAGGUUUACUCUUGAGUACGUCCCUCGUCUAACCUACGUUCUUCCGUAGGUGAGGUUUACUCUUGGACACUUGCCCCUCUGUCUACAUUUUUGUAGAAUGGGGUGUGUGUUUAGCCGACGUGUCCCCCGUCUAACCUACGUUCUUCCGUAGGUGGGGUUCACUUUUGCCGCUGUGUUCCCCGUCUAACCUACGUUCUUCCGUAGGUGGGGUUCACUUUUGCCGAUAUGUUCCCCGUCUAACCUACGUUCUUCCGUAGGUGGGGUUUACCUUUGAGUACAUCCCCCGUCUAACACUACGUUUCCGUAGGUGAGGUUCACUCUUUGCCGCUGUGUUCCCCGUCUAACCUACGUUCUUCCGUAGGUGGGGUUCACUCUUUGCCGCUGUGUUCCCCGUCUAACCUACGUUCUUCCGUAGGUGGGGUUCACUCUUGGUUUGGAUGGGAUACGCAUCCUGACUCUGUUACCAUUAAGACUUUCUCUAUCCGCGUUCUUCCGCAGGUAGAGUUAAUUUGGCGUCCUACUUUGUUACUGCGUCCAGUAAUAGUAGGAGUUCAAAUAUCUUUAUAUGGCUCAGCUCAUUUUGCUGCCGUAUCCCCGUCCGAGUUGUGGACUUCCACGAUUCCUUAGGAGCAUUUUGUGUUACACCCUCCUGCCUUGGUGUGCCGCUGAAACUCCAACUUGUCUGGGUUCUUUUUUCUGUACCCCUUUUAUGUGGGAGAAAAAGUCGAUCCCUUGUUGGUUUUGGUCGACUUUUGCUAAAUGUCGAACUCAUGUUGAAUUCCCUCGACUUUUGCUAAAUGUCGAUCCCUUGUUGACUUGGUCGACUUUUGUCGAAAAGUCGAUUCCUGGUGCUUUAGGUCAAAAGUCGAUCCCUUGCGUAAAAAAGUCGACUUUGCUAUUUUGUCCUUUUGUGCUGUCCUAGGGUCUAUAAAUAGGACCCCUAGGUUCUCCUUUUCCUUCAUCCAUCCAUGGCUCUUCUUGUGAGUCUCUUUGCUGAUUUUAUUCAGGGAGAGAUUGAGGAGCUGGAUCGAAUUCUGAAUAUUUUGGAUCCUCGGUCAUCAACCUUGGAUCUUCCUUCUCUGCGCCAGCUUAUUGUUGAGCGGCAGAGUGUUGCUGUUGCUGCUCGGGAGUCCAUUUUCGAAGAAUGGUCUGGUGGCGAUCUUCCGCCUGCCUCUUCUUCUGCUGUUCCUCCCCGUGGCCGACGUCGGAGGCGUCCCCGUCGCGGUGCUUCUCCGCUGGAUCAGGUCCCUCGUCGCUUGCGUCGCCGUAUUAAUUUUAAUUAGGAGCCUGUAAAAUUUUUCAUUCAUUGUUUUUGCAAUUUUGAAUAAAUAUCUUUUUACCUUUUCCUUUAUUUGCCUUACACCUUUACUUUGAAGUACGUUAGUGUGACCGAAAUAUUUUCUUGGUUAGUACCAUAUUCCUUUUUUCCUUUUCUAAAGGUGUCCGAUUUUUUACAAGUCGACCCUAUUUCUCCCUGGAAAUGUCGAUGUUGUCUAAAAAAAGUCGAUCCCACCUUUUUCUGAGGAAGUCGAUGACUGUUGAUCCUUUUCUAAAGGUGUCGGAUUUUUGACAAGUCGAUCUCAUUUCUCCCUGGAAAUGUCGAUGUUGUCUAAAAAUGUCGAUCCCACCUU
rnacentral:lncRNA from 1 species